rnacentral:tmRNA from 1 species
GGGGUAGUAAUGGUUUCGACAGGGAUGAUGAAGCUGGAGAAGCGAGUCGAAAGAAAUUGCGUCAAAUUUCACAAUUAAAUUUAAACGCUGAAGAUAAUUUAGCAUACGCUGCCUAAGUGCAGCAGUCUGACCUAGGGCACUCAUACCUUAGGAGCCAGGCUUCGACUAUGUGAGAAACGACUUAUGCUAAGCUUUGCACAUAAGGGCGUAUUAUGAAGCUACUAAAGCGGUAACUGUGUCUGUUGCAGGUAUCGUGGAGGGAAUGUUAAAUCACAGACUACACUCGUAGAAGUACAGGGGAUUUGUUUUUGGACACGGGUUCGACUCCCGUCUACUCCAUUA